GGCCAACAGCCUGUGAAGGCCCCUGCACCUCCACUCUAGGAGGCCAGCAGGCAGGGCCUGUGUCUGCCAAGGGACAGGCCAGGCCAGUUGCAGGUACCCAUUGGAUGUAUGUUUGAUGGAAAAUGGCUAAGAUGCUGAAGACCAGGCCCAGGCCAGAGGGAGGGGACGAGUCUGGCCUGGCCAAGGGGGAGGGAACAGGCAGGGACAGGAGACCAGCAGGUGCAAAGGCCUGGGGUGGGGCCAGCCCACCACAGUUAGGGACUGCAGAGGACCUCAGAGUGGCUGAGGAGGCUGGGACACCCUUGCCGCCAACAUGUCAGCCAAUGCACCUCCAGAGGCCUGAGAGAGCCCUGUCCCACCUCCAUGGGGCCCUAACCGCUCGGGUAUCUCACCAGGCCUGUAUCAUCCCCGUCUACGCCCUCCGUCUCCUCCACCACGCUGGUGAAGCUGCUGGCGCUGGAGGAAGAUCUGGAGAAGCCCUGCAGCACUUCCGUUCUCUGGGCAGCCGACUCCACUCUGCCACACAGUGCCGUGAGCCAUCAGCCGUGGGCACUGUGCCACAAUCCCUUGUCCCCUGCCUUCCCCAAGGAAACUCAGCCUGGAGCCAAGCAAGCACCCUGGGACUCCCAACACAGCUCGUCCAGCCUCUCAGCUCCCGUGGACUCCCAGUGACGCCCUUCCCAUUCCUUGAUAGAUCCCUCC
rnacentral:lncRNA from 1 species